rnacentral:rRNA from 1 species
AGAGCGAACGCUUGGCGGCAUGCUUAACACAUGCAAGUCGCGACGGUUCGGGGGCAACCCUGUGCAGUGGCGGACGGGUGAGUAACGCGUAGGAAUCUAUCCUGGGAUGGGGGACAACCGUGGGAAACUACGGCUAAUACCGCUAUACGACCGAGAGGUGAAAGCGGGGGACCGAAAGGCCUCGCGCAGCAGGAUGAGCCGAUGUCCGAUUAGCUGGUUGGUGGGGUAACGGCCCACCUAAGGCGACGAUCGGUAGCUGGUCUGAGAGGAUUGAUCGAGCCACACUGGGACUGAGACACGGCCCAGACUCCUACGGGAGGCAGC